UACGUAGGGUGCGAGCGUUGUCCGGAAUUAUUGGGCGUAAAGGGCUCGUAGGCGGUCUGUUGCGUCGGGAGUGAAAACUCAGGGCUUAACCCUGAGCCUGCUUCCGAUACGGGCAGACUAGAGGUAUGCAGGGGAGAACGGAAUUCCUGGUGUAGCGGUGAAAUGCGCAGAUAUCAGGAGGAACACCGGUGGCGAAGGCGGGUCUCUGGGCAGUUACUGACGCUGAGGAGCGAAAGCCAGGGGAGCAAACGGG
rnacentral:rRNA from 1 species